rnacentral:lncRNA from 10 species
AGUAGCAUAAUAAAUACAUAAGCCAGUAAUCAAGUUUAAAUCAAAUGUUUAUCAAGUACUAUGUACAUAAUUGUACUAUACUUUUUUUCCUCCAGAGCAGGAAUGGAAGUUUAUUUAAAAAGGCUUUAGAACAGGAAAGAAAGGAAAGUAUGCUUGGAAGAAAUCUAAACAGGACAUGCUAUACUUUUAUACUACUGGCAGCACAAUAGGUUAACACCAGCAUCAACAUAAACACAUGAGUAAUGCAUUGUGCUAUGAUGUUAAGAUAGCUAGGAUGUCACUAUGCGAUAGGAAUUUUUCAGUUCCAUUAUAAUCUUAUGGGACCACCUUCCUAUAAUGAGUCUGUUGUUGACCAAAAUGUCAUUAUGCAGGACCUGUUUUCAGUUUUGGUAAUUGGCAGACUGAAUUCCCUGCUCAAAUCUAUCCCCUUCCCUACCCUCUGGUAGACAGAUCCCUAGUUUUAACUGGGUUCUUUCCUCUGUGGCCACGUACUCGGAAGAAUCAGUACUCCAGUCCUUAGGGUGAUUAAUCUUUUCUUUUUUUUUGAGAUGCAGUUUCGCUCUUGUUGCCCAGGCUGGAGAGCAAUGGUGCGAUCUAGGCUCACUGCAAAAUUCGCCUCCGAGGUUCAAGCGAUUCCCCUGCCUCAGACUCCCAAGUAGCUGUGAUUACAAGCAUGCACCACCACAACCGGCUAAUUUUGUAUUUUUAGUAGAGACGGGGUUUCUCCAUGUUGCUCAGGCUGAUCUCGAACUCCCAACCUCAGGUGAUCCACCCACCUUUGCCUCCCAAUGUGAUGGGAUUACAGGUGUGAGCCACCACGCCCAGCCCAGGGUGAUUUAUCUUAACCAGAUGGUUCAGGAGGGAAUGUGAUGCAUUUAGGUACAGUGACAUGUAAAGGGAAGUCAACUGAGCCAUUACUGGAAAGGAGAGAUUUACUUAAAAAGAAAAGUGUGAGGAAAAUGAGUUUUUUCUGCCUUUGAAUGUGCCUAUGUUUAAAGAGGUUUUGCUAGAAGCUGCUUGCAACCAUGAACAUGAGGAUAAAAAUCCCCUGCAUUGAGGAUGGCAGAGAUGAAAGACAGAAAGAGCUAGGGUCCGUCAUCAUCAGUAAGCAUCUGGAACCACCCCAUCGCCAGAUGUUUCCUUAUGUGAAUAGGGUAACACUUUUAGUUGGCUUUUCCUUUACUUGUAGACAGAAGCAUGCUAACUUAUGCAAGUGACCACAUUUUAAGCGGAACUUUAGCAAAUUGGGGCACAUCUAAAUGGCAAAUAAUGGUGAAGGCUUUGGAAACCAUGUCUUUUGAGGAAUAAAGGAUUAUGGAUGUAAAGUCUAGAAAAAAGAAGACUUGGCAUGAGAUAUAACAGCUCUUCUGUAAUGUGAAUGAAAAACCUAGGACCAAGUGUGGUAAUGGGGAGCUACAUUAAUUCACAAAUAGGAGAAAAAAGGUCAAACUAGAACUACUUAAAACAGAAAGGUUUAUGGGGUAGUAUGUUUUCUUGUUAAGAACUUCAGCUGUAAUUUGGUGACUCCCUGUUGUGAGCAUUCUGGAUUUGCUUUGGUGUGAGGCUGAGCAACAGAACUUCUGUUUCCUUCCAACCCUUAAGAUGCCAUAAUUUUAUCUGACUUCGUGACAUGUACUGCAAUAAUUGUACAAGCAGGGAGGAAGAGUACAGUUCACCCUUGCACAACAUUGGCUUGAACUGCACAAGUUCACUCACACGCAAUUUUUUUUUCAAUUAAUACAGUCAGCCAUGCAUAUCCACGAGUUCCAUAUCCACAACCAAAUGAAGAUAUGAAAUCUGUUGAUCCAAAGAACCAACUCCCUGACUUAAAGAUGCUUGGAUUUUGGUAUCCAAGGGGACCCUAGAACAAAUCUCCCAUGGACAUGGAGGGAUGAUUGGAAGUAUAAAAUUGCCAGUGUAUAUAUUAUUCAUGCUUCAAUCUCUAAAAUUGGUGGCACUAUAAUAGCCUCUGGACAUAUUUAUGGAACUACCCCAGAAAAUCAAAAUUGAAGGAUACUCAGUAAAGAGUACUAACAAGAAACUCAAUUGUUCCUGAAGGCAAAAAAAGAAAAAAAGGAGGGGGUAGAAGUAUUGAUACACAUAAAAAUUGCAAAGUGUUAACUGCGCCCCCAAUAAGAUUUACAGAAAAG